rnacentral:rRNA from 1 species
CCUACGGGAGGCAGCAGUGAGGAAUAUUGGUCAAUGGGCGCAAGCCUGAACCAGCCAAGUCGCGUGAGGGAUGACGGUCCUAUGGUUUGUAAACUUCUUUUAUAUGGGAAUAAAAUGUUCCACGUGUGGGAUUUUGUAUGUACCAUAUGAUUAUGGAUCAGCUAACUCCGUGCCAGCAGCCGCGGUAAUACGGAGGAUCCGAGCGUUAUCCGGAUUUAUUGGGUUUAAAGGGAGCGUAGGUGGAUUGUUAAGUCAGUUGUGAAAGUUUGCGGCUCAACCGUAAAAUUGCAGUUGAAACUGGCAGUCGUGAGUACAGUAGAGGUGGGCGGAAUUCGUGGUGUAGCGGUGAAAUGCUUAGAUAUCACGAAGAACUCCGAUGGCGAAGGCAGUUCACUGGACUGCAACUGACACUGAGGCUCGAAAGUGUGGGUAUCAAACAGGAUUAGAUACCCGUGUAGUC